rnacentral:rRNA from 1 species
CCUACGGGGGGCAGCAGUGGGGAAUAUUGCACAAUGGGCGAAAGCCUGAUGCAGCGACGCCGCGUGAGCGAUGAAGGCCUUCGGGUCGUAAAGCUCUGUCCUAAGGGAAGAAGAUUGACGGUACCUUAGGAGGAAGCCCCGGCUAACUACGUGCCAGCAGCCGCGGUAAUACGUAGGGGGCGAGCGUUAUCCGGAAUGACUGGGCGUAAAGGGUGCGUAGGCGGCCCUGCAAGUCAGGAGUUAAAUCCCUCGGCUCAACCGAUGUCAGCGCUGGAAACUGUAGGGGUUGAGUGCAGGAGAGGAGAGGGGAAGUCCUAGUGUAGCGGUGGAAGGCGUAGAUAGUAGGGGGAACGCCAGUGGCGAAGGCGGCUCUCUGGAGUGCAACUGACGGGGAGGAAGGAAAGCGUGGGGAGCGAACAGGAUUAGAUACCCGUGUAGGC